CCGUGGGGGCGGCCGGCGCCUCAGCACCAGGGCCUCGGGGCUGUGCCAGCAGAAGCCUAGAGAAGCCUUUCUCCCUCCGGCCCGCCCUCCCCGGUGACCCUGGGUGAGUCACUUCCCUGCCCUGGUUCCCCGUCUGCUGCCGGCGACACCCCCUUCCCACCUCGAGACAGAAGGGCUGAUGGGGGCGGUGCGGGCCUGGGUGGGUCCGGCCGCUGGGGCUGCGGGAGGGCGGUCGGUGCCAGGCACGGGCCUGGCAUGGCGAGAUAAGGAGCCCGGAGGCGCCGGGGGCUGGGCUCCUCCUCCGACGCUGAAUUCCAAGCGGGCCGCCCAGCGGGCCAGGAGCGGGGCUGGGAACGCGGGGCGCCGGCCGCCGGGAAGGAGGGCGCCGCCUCGCUGCGCGUCCGUGGGUGGGCGGCCGCCCCCUUCCCCGAGCCCCAGGGCCCCUCUGGAAAGGGCGGCUGUCUGGGCAGCCGGGCCGCACACUCAGCCCCGGGCUCCCGUGCGUCGAGUCUGCAGUGACUCCUCCCAGAAGCCCUCCCCGGUCACCUCGCUGCAGUCAGUGCCCCAGCCCGCCAGCCCGCCAGCCAGGCACCUGGCCUUAGAGCAGGUGGGCUCCGGUGGAGGAGACGUAAUGCCUGCCGAUAGGAGAGACCGAACUGGACUAAACGCGGGGUAUAAAUAACCAUCCGACUCAAAACUGGCCCGUCAAAAACCAAGGCACGUCUGAGAAGUGGACACAGACCAGAGGAGACGCGUGCGCGUGACUCGACACAAGGCCAGGUGGUCUGCUGGAUGCUCUGGGAAGCCAACACCAUUCUGAAAGAAAAGGCUUAUUUAAAAGAGAACCAGGUGGGCUUAAGAGGCCCCACUCCACCCGCUUGUUCUCCAAACAGAAGCCACUGGGAACCUGUUAAAUCAGGAGAGGAGCUUGUGCUACUUGGGUAUUUCUCAAAAUGCAUCAGAUGGUAACAGGCAAAACGCACGCAUGGCACUGCAUUUAAUGUUACCAAGGACAAGAAGCCUAACUAAAUGUUGGAUAUUUUGUUGUUAAACUGCGGGGGGUUAGGGGUGACAUUACCUGAUAUUUGCAAAUUGCUGUGAAAUGAACUUUUAAAAGGUAGUUGUAUGGGAGCUAUCUCUAAUUUCUACUCAAUUUUUCUGUGAACCUGAACUGCUCUAAAAAGUUAAGUUUAUUAACUUUAAAAAGAGAGAUGAUGUCUAGACAGACAAGAUCAUUAUGAAGCAACUAGAGCAAAAUGCUCACUGGAGACUCUAGGGGGCGAGGGUAUAGCUAUUCACUCUUUAAUU